UACGGAAGGCAGCAGUGGGGAAUAUUGCACAAUGGGCGAAAGCCUGAUGCAGCUAUGCCGCGUGUAUGAAGAAGGCCUUAGGGUUGUAAAGUACUUUCAUCGGGGAGGAAAAACAAAACUAAUAAUUUUAUUUCUUGACGUUACCCGAAAAAGAAGCACCGGCUAACUCCGUGCCAGCAGCCGCGGUAAUACGGAGGGUGCUAGCGUUAAUCAGAAUUACUGGGCGUAAAGAGCACGUAGGUGGUUUUUUAAGUCAGAUGUGAAAUCCCUGGGCUUAACCUAGGAACUGCAUUUUGAAACUGAAAUACUAGAGUAUCGUAGAGGGAGGUAGAAUUCUAGGUGUAGCGGUGAAAUGCGUAGAUAUCUGGAGGAAUACCUGUGGCGAAAGCGGCCUCCUAAACGAAUACUGACACUGAGGUGCGAAAGCGUGGGGAGCGAAACAGGGAUUAGAUACC
rnacentral:rRNA from 1 species